GGACGAGACCGGCGCUCGCGCGUCGUUUCCUAUUCCCUCUCCGGGCGGGUGGGGGUAAUGCGUCUGCGCAGGUUUGGGAAGACGCCCGCGGCGGGGGAAGGGAAUCGCGGCGCUUGCGCACUGCAGCAGCUCCUCUCGCGAGGACGGACGCCAUUAUCGCAUCUCCCCGACAAACACCACGAGAAUUCCGCAGCCCACACGGUUACUAAAAGCUGACCAGGCCUUCCCAGUUGGAAUUUAUACUUGGCUGUUGUGAUAAUUGAACCUUACUGCAUGAUUCUGGAUGAUGUCAGAACAGGAUUUGGCCGAUGUGGUCCAGAUUGCAGUGGAAGACUUAAACCCUGAUCACCCAGGUACAGUAGUUGUGUUAGAGAAUCAUGAAGUCACAGAUGAAGAAGUGGAGCCUCCUUUGAAACGCCAGCGAAUAGAAAUCAACUGCCAGGAUCCCUCAAUAAAGUCAUUCCUGUAUUCCAUUAAUCAGACAAUAUGUUUACGAUUGGAUAGUAUUGAGGCCAAACUGCAAGCUCUAGAAGCCACGUGCAAAUCAUUAGAGGAGAAACUGGACCUGGUUAUGAACAAGCAGCAUAGUCCCAUCCAAGUGCCAAUGGUGGCCGGCUCUCCCCUUGGUGCCACUCAGACGUGCAAUAAAGUGCGAUGCGUCGUCCCCCAGACUACAGUAAUACUGAACAAUGAUCGACAGAACUCCAUUGUAGCCAAGAUGGUUGGGCAAGAAGAACCUUUGAGCAGGGCAACGGAUUCCCUGGAAAAUAUCCUUAGCAAUGCUGUUCCUGCACGUAGGCAAAACACCAUAGUGGUGAAAGUUCCAGGCCAUGAUGAUAGUCACAAUGAAGAUGGAGAGAGUGGGUCGGAGGCCAGUGACUCUGUUUCCAAUAGCGGACAGUCAGGAAGCCAGAACAUCGGAAACAAUGUUACUUUGAUUACGUUGAAUUCGGAAGAGGAUUAUCCUAAUGGCACUUGGCUUGGUGAUGAGAAUAACCCUGAGAUGCGGGUUCGCUGUGCCAUCAUACCUGCUGAUAUGCUGCACAUUAGCACCAAUUGUCGAACAGCAGAGAAGAUGGCGCUAACCCUACUCGAUUAUCUUUUUCAUCGUGAAGUUCAGGCUGUCUCCAACCUCUCUGGGCAGGGAAAACAUGGGAAAAAACAGCUUGAUCCCCUUACCAUCUAUGGAAUUCGUUGUCACCUUUUUUAUAAAUUUGGAAUCACAGAAUCUGACUGGUACCGAAUCAAGCAGAGUAUUGACUCUAAAUGUAGGACAGCCUGGCGGCGAAAGCAAAGAGGGCAGAGUCUUGCAGUCAAAAGCUUCUCCAGGCGGACACCUUCAUCAUCAUCUUAUAGUGGCUCAGAGAGCGUUCAGAGCACAGCAUCUGCUUCUAAUGAGAUCCAGCAACCCCAGCCUCAGGCAUUGCAUUACACACUUGCCAAUGCCCAGCAGGUCCAGAUUCAUCAAAUUGGCGAAGAUGGGCAAGUACAAGUAGGACAUCUCCACAUAGCUCAAGUGCCCCAAGGGGAUCAAGUCCAGAUAACACAAGACAGUGAGGGCAAUCUACAGAUUCAUCACGUUGGACAAGAUGGGCAGGUAGUGUUACAAGGUGCUCAAUUGAUAGCGCUAGCCUCUGCCGAUCCAGCCACUGCGGGAGUAGAUGGGUCACCUCUUCAAGGAAGUGAUAUCCAGGUCCAGUAUGUCCAGCUGGCACCGGUGACUGACCACUCGGCCACGAAUCAAGCCUUUGCCCCUGCUGGCUCUCGUGCCUGGAAUGUUCUGCCUUCUUCCGCUUCUUUGUGACCUGUAAGUCUUGGCUCAAAGACCACCUUCCACAGGAGACCUCUCCUCGUUUCCCCGCUGCUAGCGCCUUCCCCAUUGAGAUUCCAUGCCAUCCUCGCCCUACACAGCUCAGAAUUUUUCUGAGGAUCAGUUAUGCUCCAGCCUCCAUCUUCAACCCAGUGCUUCAGCUCCUGUCAUGGGUCCUUGGGUUUCUGGUUGGUGAACCUUCACCAUGUCUAGCCUGCCUCAGACCCCCCUGCUGCUGUAACCCGGCCACCUCCAUGCCAUGUUCCAGUGCUUCAGCCUGCGCCUCCAGCCUGGCACUCCUCCGCCUUCUGCCUUGGGGCUCUAGGCUUUUGGUUGGUGAGACCUCACUGUCUCUAGCCUGCCUCAGACCCCCCUGCUGCUGUUACCCGACCAUCUUCACACCAUGGUCCUGCACUCCAGCCUUCACCUCCGCCCCAGCAUGCCAGCUUCUGCCCUGGGUCCCUGGGCUUCAGACUGGUGAGACUUCACCAUUUCUAGCUUGAUCCAGACCCCCAUGCUUUUCAUUCCGGGUCUUCUUGUGCCAUACCCGUGCAAGUGCUGCCCUCCCCAUGUGCUUUCCCCUUGCACUCUCACUCUGGGAAUAAAAGAAUCCAAACACCACUACCGUAUCUGGAAAGCCUGUGCCAGUCCGGUGACUGUUCUGUGACUCCAUUCACUGCCCCUUUGAUGUCCUGACAAGAUCCCCCUCCCUGACCGUCACUCUUAUGUGUUGUCUUUCCCUGUUAGAAUGUACGCUCCUUGAGGGUAGGGACAUCUGGCUCUUGUGUUUGUAUCUCUGUUGUUUAGGACAGUGCCUGUCACAUAGUAAGUGCUUAAUAAAUAUGUUUUUGUUCGUUCA